UACGAAGGGGGCUAGCGUUGCUCGGAAUCACUGGGCGUAAAGCGCACGUAGGCGGAUUGCUAAGUCAGGGGUGAAAUCCUGGAGCUCAACUCCAGAACUGCCUUUGAUACUGGCGAUCUCGAGUCCGGGAGAGGUGAGUGGAACUCCGAGUGUAGAGGUGAAAUUCGUAGAUAUUCGGAAGAACACCAGUGGCGAAGGCGGCUCACUGGCCCGGUACUGACGCUGAGGUGCGAAAGCGUGGGGAGCAAACAGG
rnacentral:rRNA from 1 species